AGAAACAUAUUAUGAAAAAAGUAAGUAUUCAGAUUUUAAUAUUAUUUUACUUCAGAAUUAAUUAUUCCUCUCAAAUGGCGUGCCAGCAGUCUCGGUUACACGAUUAGUCAUUAAAAUGAGCUAUUUUUAUUGGAGAGAAAAAUAGAAAAAAAUCUAAAAUAAGUGAAAUUUUUAGAAAAUAAUAAAUUUUCUUUAAUAAAAAAAAUAAAAAAAAGAAGAAGGAUUAGAUACCCUUUCACUUUUUAUCAAAGGUAGUAAAUGAAAUUCAUUAAACCUAAAAAAUUUGGCGGUUUUUUAUCCUCUCAGGGGAAUUUGCCUAUUAAAUCGAUAAUCCCCGAUUAAAAAAACCCUUUCUUUAAACUUAUAUAUUUCCGAAAAAUAAAAUGUAAAUUAUUUACUCAGGUAAAAUGUAGUUCAUGAAAAGGAAUUGGUUAAUUACUAAAAAGAAAUUGAAUUAAAAUUUGAAAUAAUAAGGACCUGAAAGUAAAUUUUUAUAUAUAAUAAAGAAUUGAAAUGGCAAUUAAAAAUGUACAUAUCGCCCGUCACCCUAAGUAUUAGGUAAGUCGUAACAAAGUAGAUGUUUCGGAAGAAGCCUCUUGUAAAAU
rnacentral:rRNA from 1 species